GGAGGCCCGAACUCUUCCCCUCCCCUCGGGGCGGUCCUCUGCCGGCUGCCGGGAAGCGGCCUCGAACCCCAGGGUGCUUUCGGCUAGGCCGCCGGGCCUGCAGCCUCUGCUGGUUUUAUCGCUCAGAGAAGGUGGUGGACCGGGGAGGAGUCGGCUCUGGGCCUGCCCCUCCGCGAAUUUGUUGUGUUACUUCCAGCGAGACACAUCCCGCCGGCCUCGUUUCUUAUUCUGUAAAAUUGGGAGGUGGUUGCCUAGAUGAUUUCACAGGCUAUUAGACAAGGGAAAAGAGAGAUCAUCUGCCCCCUUCGUUUUACAGAUGAAAAGAUCUGACUGACACGUCUGGCUCUGCAAUUCUGUGAAUUACCCAAAAUGUCUGUCAUUGACAGAGCUCUCCCCUCAAGGGAGCCCACACCUUUCUUCUUUUUUACCCGCUUUUUUAAUUCUAUAAUGGAAGUGCUACUUCCAAAAGUAGAGUGUUCCUUGUCACUAGAGGAGUCAAACAGCUGCUGAACAGGCUUUCUGAGCCCUCAUGGCCUUAUCUGGAAAGCAUCCCUCAUUCCAAAGGCUGGCAAUAUAAUACCUGUCUCUUUCCCCGGGUUGUCCUAAGGAUGAAUGAGUCACUGGCUGCGGAAGUGCUUUGCAAAGCAUACAUCUAUCCUUUCCUGCGCUCUUAUUCCCAGUUAGCUGUCUUCACCUACCUCAAUCCUGUCCUGCUGCAGUCUCCCAACGUCUUCUGCUGUUUCCCUUCCAGUGUUUUCUACUCUAAAACAACCUCUGUAAAUCCUUAAGCCCUUCACACCUCUUCUAACUGAAACCCAACUUUGCCUUGAAAACACCAACCUCCCUGGCACCUCUCUGAGGCAGUGGGCAACUUCUUCCAGAGACAGGAACUCCAUCCUGCCAUCAUUCACUGCCGUCCACUGCCUAGAUCCUCAUCCUCUUCCUGUCCUGCUGAUAAAGCAUCCUGUAGGCCACACCCCACAUUCAUUCAUCUAUUCAUUCAUUUAUGUAGUAUUCAUUUAACUGAUUCCUGUCGAAGACCUGUUGCUGGGACCCUCAGCACUUUUCAUUAGCUCUUGCCCUCGCCUGGUUUAGCAGGACGUUUAGCCACCUGCAGAGUCCCCAUCCCCAAUAAGAGUUGGAAAUACCCACAGGAAUGUGUCUCUAGCAUUCCCAGUUUAAUCCCUUUCUGUAGGAGCUACCUCCAAGUCUAGUCCAAUCUAGGCUGUGAAGGUGCCUACAAAUGAGCCACUUGUACAGGCAAUGCUGUCUCCUGUUGGGGCUACACUCUAGUAACUGCUGAUUGCCAAAUCCAGUGGACACUUGAGUCCGCCCAUCAUGUGACCUUUCUACAGACCUUGUCACUCCUUCUUUUUGAAACUCUCCUCUCCUCUGUUUUCUACAUCAUUCUCCUUUGUCUGUAACCUGUUUUCUGAACUUCCUUUUGCUAGCACUUUUCUUGGCUGCUCCUUUUUUACAAAGCCAUAUAAUGUUGGUAUCCUCAAGGUUUUAUUUCUUCCCUCCUGUCCUCUCACUUAGAUUGACUUCACUUGUUUCCAUAGCUUCAAAUGUUAAUAACACCUGCAUCUCCUUCUUCCAGCCCCUCCACCCCAACUCGGCAGCUCAGUGUCUUAAUUAACUUUAAAACAUCCUCAGGGCAUGCAGUGCUGAGAUUUUGUUGAACAAUGAAUGGAACUGGAGCAGACUGUCACCAAGUUACAAAGACACCAGGAUAACAAAAAUCUGGCAAUGAGGGGUCAUUUUUUGCAGAAGCAGAAUGGACUCCAUCCACAUGUGCGUUAGACCAAAUCCUACAGAUGAUGAUGAAUUCAUGUACUGCGGAGCUUAUCUUUAUGGAAAGAACUCAUUUCCUAGAAUUUUCAAUAUUUUUUCGGAAUGUCUACGUGAUCUGGUGGAUUUAAAAGUUUUUCAUUAUAGUGUAACAUGCAAACAGAAAAGUGCACAAAUCAUAAAUGCUCAGCUCAAAGAAUUUUCACAAAGUGAACAAUAUGUGUAAUCAGAACCCUGAUUGUGAAACAGAAUAUAACCAGCACCCCAGAGUGUCUCCCUCAAGACUUCUUCCUCCCAACAAAG
rnacentral:lncRNA from 1 species